CCUACGGGGGGCAGCAGUGAGGAAUAUUGGUCAAUGGACGAGAGUCUGAACCAGCCAAGUAGCGUGAAGGAUGACUGCCCUAUGGGUUGUAAACUUCUUUUAUAUGGGAAUAAAAUGUUCCACGUGUGGGAUUUUGUAUGUACCAUAUGAAUAAGGAUCGGCUAACUCCGGGCCAGCAGCCGCGGUAAUACGGAGGGUCCGAGCGUUAUCCGGAUUUAUUGGGUUUAAAGGGAGCGUAGGGGGUUUGUUAAGUCAGUUGUGAAAGUUUGCGGCUCAACCGUAAAAUUGCAGUUGAGACUGGCAGUCUUGAGUACAGUAGAGGUGGGCGGAAUUCGGGGUGUAGCGGUGAAAUGCUUAGAUAUCACGAAGAACUCCGAUUGCGAAGGCAGUUCACUGGACUGCAACUGACACUGAGGCUCGAAAGUGUGGGUAUCAAACAGGAUUAGAUACCCUAGUAGUC
rnacentral:rRNA from 1 species